AAUCUUGCGCAAUGGGCGAAAGCCUGACGCAGCGACGCCGCGUGAGUGAUGAAGGCCUUCGGGUUGUAAAGCUCUGUGGAGGGGGACGAAUAAGGGCCGUCGAACAGACGGCUCGAUGACGGUACCCCUUUAGCAAGCACCGGCUAACUCUGUGCCAGCAGCCGCGGUCAUACGGAGGAUCCAAGCGUUAUCCGGAAUUACUGGGCGUAAAGAGUUGCGUAGGUGGCAUAGUAAGUAGACAGUGAAAGCGUAUGGCUCAACCAUAUAUACAUUGUCUAAACUGCUAAGCUAGAAUAUAGAAGAGGUAGCUGGAAUUUCUAGUGUAGGAGUGAAAUCCGUAGAUAUUAGAAGGAACACCAAUGGCGUAGGCAGGCUACUGGUCUAUUAUUGACACUAAGGCACGAAAGCGUGGGGAGCGAA
rnacentral:rRNA from 1 species